CUUAGCGCCGCAGCUGAUUUCCUACGCUCUGUCUGCUGCCUUGACGAGCAACAAGUCUUCGUCUUCCUUCCACACCACACCACCCCGCCUCACUCCCACCCCACUGCUCGCUGCCUUUAGAACCGCCGGAUCGGCACCUCGCGCCGCCAAUCCAGGCCGGCCGCUGCUCCCCCGACCUCGAGUGGGAGCAGAGCAAAAUGGGUGGAAGACUAGCAUCCUUUUGGGAACAAUGGAACAUCCAGAUUCUGGUGAUCCUGAGCUUCGCCCUGCAAGUCCCCCUCCUCUUCUGUGCAGGGAUCCGGCGUAGUCGUAAAGCCUCGGCUGUAUUGUCAAUUCUCCUCUGGCUGGCGUACCUGAUGGCCGACUACACCGCGAUCUAUGCCCUUGGCCACAUGUCCAUCAGUAUGAGCAGAUCUCCUCCACGCGACCUUCACCAGCACCAGAUGGUGCCAUUCUGGGCUCCCUUCCUGUUGCUUCACCUUGGUGGGCCGGACACCAUCACCGCCUACGACUUCCAGGACAACCAGCUCUGGCUGCGCCACUUGCUCACCCUCGCGGCGCAGGUGCUUGGCGCCGCCUAUGUCGUGUACCUGUUCGUCGCGGCCGGGAACCCAGCUGGGACGCUGCUCGCCGCUGCUGCGUCGAUGUUCGUCACCGGCUGCAUCAAGUACGGCGAGAGGACGUGGGCUCUCAAGUGUGGCGGCAUCGACAGCAUCGCCAGCUCUCUUCAUGACGGCAAGCCGUCGGCCACCGCUGGUCCUUACCAUGCGAGGGAGGAGGGAAAGAGGCUAGAAACGGAGGAGGUCGUGUUGGGAGCCCACUACAUGCUCAAUUUCUGCAAGGGCCUCCUGGCUGAUGUGCCGGUGAUGCACAAGUCUGAGUACGAAGCCGUGCGACAAGGCAUCCUGCUCAACGGCAGAAACCACCUGUUUCAACUGGCCGCGAUGGAGCUUUCCCUCCUGGACGACAUACUCUACGCCAAGGCGGCAGUCAUCCACACCUGGCACGGCUUGUGCAUCCGUAUCAUCGCGCCGCUCUCUGUGGUCGCAGUGUUCGUGCUGUUCCAGCUCAGCAGCAAGGACGCCUAUGGCAGAGCUGACGUCGCCGUCACCUACAUCCUGCUUGUCGGAGCCAUGACCAGGGAUUUGGAUUUCGUCCGGAAAAUUCGAAUUGCGUCCGAAUUUCGCCCAUUUCGGUCAGGACCGGUAAGACAAUUUCCCGGAAGAAAUCUACUAAACAUUGGAGCUUGCGUCGUCUCUCAGUGUGGCAGGGUCUUCCUGGGCGUGCGCGUCCUACCAUGCUCGAGGAUGGCACCGGCUCUGCGGCACAGUGGUGCGCCUCCGCCAGAUAUUCAAGGCUGGAGCAAGGAGGAGUGCCUGUCUGGACACGCUUGGGCAGUACAACCUACUGGACCUCUGCACCGACGCCAGAAAGGACGACCACUUGAGAGGCAAGAUCGCCAAGAUGAUCGGACUUGGGGACCGGUGGCAGAAGCUGCACUACUCCGGCACCGCCCCCAUCUCCGACGGCAUCAAGGCUCUCGUGCUGGGAGAGAUCUGGAAGAGGAAAGUCGAUGACCUGAGGAAUGCGCUGGGAAGGUGGAUCCUCAAGGAGAAAGGGAUGUACGAGGAUCUCACGCGGAUAGCCGAUGACACCGAGCUGGACCGUAGCAUCAUCGUGUGGCACAUUGCCACCGAUCUCUACCUCUCCCUGUGCCCUGACCCUCAAGAGGAGGUCCGGGACAACAUAAGGGUGCUCUCCAACCACAUGCUCUUCCUCAUGGUGGUGCAUCCCUACCUGUUGCCCGGAGUUGUUCGCAACGGCCGUUACAAGGAGAACUUGAAGUACUAUGAUAUGGUGUGGUGGGUUAAUUUGAGGUCCACCAAGGAAAGCACCAUGAAACUGUCCAGAUCGGAGAUCAUCAACAAGAUAGCCGAGUGGCAACUCCCGGCUGAUUCGAGGCACAAGUACAUUUACGGCAUCGGCGAUGAAGCUGCUGACGACGUCGAUGACAGGCCAGUCUAUGCUGACGGAUGGGCUCGCCGGGAUGCUGUUCGGCAACAGGUGGUGCUUGCCUGCCGCUGACAUGCUGGAGGUGAUCGCAGGCGUGUGGGUGGAGAUGCUGUGCUACGCGAGCCACCACUGCGGCGCGGAGUCUCACGCCAAGAAGCUAAGCACCGGAGGAGAGUUCAUGAAUGCCAUCUGGCUUAUCAUAGGGCACGCCACGGACUACGACAGAUGGGCCCCAUCUGCUGAGGGCUUCACGGGGGGUUUAGAGCUCAGCAACCCUCCGCGCAAGCAGAAGCUCCCUGCCAGAUGGAUGCAGCCAGAGGCGGACGUAGUUUUUGACGUUGAAGCUCACCAAACACCGAGCACUUCAUGUGCAGAAAGACGUCACCAAUAAAAUCAAUACAUCAUGUAUGGAUUGAAUCAUAUGAGCCAUCAUUCUGCAAAUAUGGUGUUUGCAAAUUUCGACCUGAUGGAUAUCAAGACAGAAUUGUAGCCCCUACUGUAGUGCUGAUUAUAUUAAUGCCAUUUCUUGCCGGAUUGUUCACGAUGGAUGGUUCAAAAUUGUAGUCCAACAUUGUCAUGUAACUGGAGUUACCAAUAUCUUGCUGGUAUGUAUGUUUGUAUGAAUGUAGUCGACAGGCCUGUAGCCUGGGCUUGAAUUCACAGCUAUGUGAACUAUACUGGUCAAAAAGUUGAGAUGAUGUUUUUCUUAUAGUAUAUGGAUUUUUUCUUGUCUA